AAGGAAUAUUGCUCAAUGGGAGAAAUCCUGAAGCAGCAACGCCGCGUGGAGGAUGAAGGGUCUAUGACUUGUAAACUCCUGUAAAGAAGGAAAAAAUUCCCAUUUGAUGGGAGAUGAUGGUACUUCUGGAGUAAGCCCCGGCUAACUACGUGCCAGCAGCCGCGGUAAUACGUAGGGGGCAAGCGUUGUCCGGAUUUACUGGGUGUAAAGGGUGCUCAGGCGGAUUUGUAAGUCAGAGGUGAAAUCUUACAGCUUAACUGUGAAACUGCCUUUGAUACUGCAAGCCUAGAGUAUGGAAGAGAGAGAUGGAAUAUCCGGUGGAGCAGUGAAAUGCGUAGAUAUCAGAUAGAACACCAAUGGCGAAGGCAGUCACUUGGUCCAGUACUGACGCUAAAGCACGAAAGCGUGGGUAGCAAACA
rnacentral:rRNA from 1 species